rnacentral:rRNA from 1 species
AGGGUGAUGCCUGCCCAAUGGUUGUAUCUAAAAGCGGUUGAUAAAAGUCGACCUCGUAAGGACAAUUGAAUGGCCGCGGUAACACUGACCGUGAUAAUGUAGCGUAAUCAAUAGCCAAUUAAUUGUUGGCCAGUAUGAAUGGCGCCACGAAGGCCCCACUGUCUUAAGGAAAUUCCCAGUGAAAUUGAAUUCGUAGUGAAGAUGCUACGUCCAAUUUGUUAGACGAAAAGACCCCGUUGAGCUUUACUGGGGCACUUACACGGCCCCGGCCUUCCCGUGUCCGGGAACCGGCCGAAUUUAAAUGGGUGGUUUAGACUAUGUGGCAGCCCCCCGCCGGGGCAGAUGAAACCCCACUCCCCCAUGUCAAAGGGGCUAACCCCCCCUUGGGGGGGAGAGUGUAAGUAGGACAGUUUGGUUGGGGCGACCGCCUUUUAAAGAGUAACGAAGGUGCGCUUAAGGUGCGCAAUUAAUGACUGAAGCCUGACUGCGAGGGGGACACCCCGAGCAGACACCCCUAAGCCCGCCCGAAGGG